GCAAGUCGAACGAGAACGGAACCUUCGGGUUCUUAGUAGAGUGGCGCACGGGUGAGUAACAGGUGGGUAACCUACCCUUUGGCGGGGGAUAACCAUCCGAAAGGAUGGCUAAUACCGCAUACGUCCAGCACCCCUUUGGGGGAGCUGGGGAAAGCGGCGCAAGUCGCACCAGAGGUUGGGCCCGCCUACCAUUAGCUAGUUGGUGGGGUAAUGGCCUACCAAGGCGUCGAUGGUUAGCUGGUCUGAGAGGAUGAUC
rnacentral:rRNA from 1 species